UAUUCUCAGGGCGGGGCGCAAUUCCCCACCGGCGGUAUGUUUAGUUUUCCAUUCAUAUUCAAUUUUUAUGUAUGGAUUUUCCUGAAUAAGCCCGCGAGCGCUCGAUACGUCGAGGUCAGCAGAUCUGGUGAGAUGCCAGAGCCGACGGUUAUAGUCCGGAUGAGAGAGAAUG
rnacentral:ncRNA from 1 species